AACGAACGCUGGCGGCAGGCCUAACACAUGCAAGUCGAGCGCCCCGCAAGGGGAGCGGCGGACGGGUGAGUAACGCGUGGGAACGUACCCUUUGGUACGGAAUAGCCUCGGGAAACUGAGAGUAAUACCGUAUGUGCCCUUCGGGGGAAAGAUUUAUCGCCAAAGGAUUAGCCCGCGUUGGAUUAGAUAGUUGGUGGGGUAAUGGCCUACCAAGUCUACGAUCCAUAGCUGGUUUGAGAGGAUGAUCAGCAACACUGGGACUGAGACACGGCCCAGACUCCUACGGGAGGCAGCAGUGGGGAAUCUUAGACAAUGGGCGCAAGCCUGAUCUAGCCAUGCCGCGUGGACGAUGAAGGCCUUAGGGUUGUAAAGUCCUUUCAGAUGGGAAGAUAAUGACGGUACCAUCAGAAGAAGCCCCGGCUAACUCCGUG
rnacentral:rRNA from 1 species